rnacentral:rRNA from 1 species
UACGUAGGUGGCAAGCGUUGUCCGGAAUUAUUGGGCGUAAAGCGCGCGCAGGCGGCCUUUUAAGUCUGAUGUGAAAGCCCACGGCUCAACCGUGGAAGGUCAUUGGAAACUGAAAGGCUUGAGUACAGAAGAGGAAAGCGGAAUUCCACGUGUAGCGGUGAAAUGCGUAGAGAUGUGGAGGAACACCAGUGGCGAAGGCGGCUUUCUGGCCUGUAACUGACGCUGAGGCGCGAAAGCGUGGGGAGCAAACAGG